GCCUCCGUGGCGCAAUCGGUUAGCGCGUUUGGCUGUUAACCAAAAGGUUGGUGGUUCAAAUCCACCCGGGGGCU
rnacentral:tRNA from 1 species